UGAGAGAGUGAGUUUGAGAGAGAGAGAGAGUGAGAGAGAGUGAGUGUGAGAGAGAGAGAGAGAGAAAGGGAGAGAGAGUGAGUGUGAGAGAGUGAGAAAGGGAGAGAGAGAGUGAGUGUGUGAGAGAGAGUGAGAAAGGGAGAGAGAGUGAGUGUGAGUGUGAGAGAGGAGAGAGAGAGAGAGAGAGAGCGCUCUGUGUAAGAAAGAAGAAUAAAAAUAAGUUUUUCUGUCAUUUCUGCGCCCAGAGAGCGACCCCGGACUGUACAUGUACUGUAUAUUUAGUAGUUUUGAGGACUACACGUGUCUUUUAACUUAGGAGUCGCACUACAUCAGCGCUGUCUGUAAACUGAAAUGUUUCUCCAAAAUACAACAAAAGUGUGUUUUAUUAACAUUAAAGAUUUGUUUCGAGUGUGU
ensembl:lncRNA